UAAUGCUCCUUGAUCAUGUUCACAAAUUCAGUUUUGAAGUUUUAAGGGCCCCCUUUAAAUUGCCAUGUUAGACUUGCCCAGACCUCAGACAUUCCACAUUUAUUAGGCUGUUGGAGAGGCC